AUUUCAGAGGCCAGUGCACACGAGGAAGCACCCAAGCAGCCAGACCACGAGGAGAGGACCGACCGCUGAAGAGAGCACCCAAACGCAGCAGCCCCGUCCGUUCAGUGUUACAACUCCAGCCCAGAGAAGUAGUGUGUGUUUCGCCUGGAGUGCCGAGCAGGAGCACAGAGAGGGUUGGCUUGCUGGACCAGCAGGCGGAUUGAGUGCCGGACCGCGGAGCCCGAGGGAGCAAAAGAGCGGGGUGUGGGCUGUGAACACGGACAAGGGUGACCUUCAUCCUGGCCAGGGUUGAGGGGAAGCAACAUGGGCUCAUAGAGGGGUGUUGUCACGAUGCACCCUUCUCACAGCUAAGUACCCUUUUCUUCCUCUUUUAACUGGAUUUGGGUUAAUCGGAUUUUAGAUCUGAAGAUUAUUUUAUCGUGAUUUGACGUUGGGCCUGAUUGUUUACCCGAGCUAUUUUUUCCCCCUGUGUAUGUACGCUGACUGAAAGCCUUGUCCACUUCUGAGGAAGACGGGGACUACUGUCACGACUGGGUCCAAGAGUGGGCUAUCCAGGGGCACAGAGUGAUCCUUGGGGGAGACGUUGGGCUGGGUUAAUUUUAUUACCUCUUUGUUUUAUAUCAUUGAAUGUCGUGAUUGGAGUCAUGUUUUUUUUUUUUAACUCUGCUCAAACCCUGAUUUUAAUUAAGAACCUGUGUGUUUACCUUUGAGGGUCCUAGGCUCUCAUACCAAGGUGGCGUUGUCAGCAAUACCUUUUUAACAAAUCAAUUUGGGACCAAUUGUAAACGCCACAUAGGCUGCUAAAUGGAGUACAGUGCUUCACUUCUGACCCCUUUCAAAGAGCCAUGGGGUCUUCCAGUGAUGCAACACUCCCAUGGUCCUGAGAGGAGUGAUUUGGAGUGACCUUGCAUAAGUAAUUCCCCAUAGCAUUUAGGGCAUGUUAAGCUUCUGGACAUUCUGUCCAUCUAGGCCUCUUGCUUUCUCUCCUGCUGCAUCUAGAUAUCCUGUUCUUUAUGCAUCCAUUCAAUCACUUAUAGCAUGUUGGUGCCCAUGAUAAGGUGGGCCAAAGUAGAAAAAAAAUCCAUAACAACGUGUCUAAACUCAUUUGUCAUAACCUAAAAUUCAUGGCAUCCAAAAAAAAAAAAAAAAAAAAAAAAAAAGCAGAAUUAUGCAGAAUUAUGUAAAACAAAUUUCAAUUUGAAACAUUUUGUUACCAUGGCACAUUUUUUUUGAUAAUUUAUUACAUUGUACUGGCUGUACUGAAGCUAAGGCUGUAGGCAAUUAAACCAUAUAAACAAUA